GACGGAGGGGGCAAGCGUUGUUCGGAAUUACUGGGCGUAAAGGGCUCGUAGGCGGCCAACUAAGUCAGACGUGAAAUCCCUCAGCUUAACUGGGGAACUGCGUCUGAUACUGGAUGGCUUGGAUUCGGGAGAGGAAUGCGGAAUUCCAGGUGUAGCGGUGAAAUGCGUAGAUAUCUGGAGGAACACCGGUGGCGAAGGCGGCAUUCUGGACCGAUAUUGACGCUGAGGAGCGAAAGCCAGGGGAGCAAACGGG
rnacentral:rRNA from 1 species